UCUCCGUAGGUGAACCUGCGGAGGGAUCAUUACAGAGUUCAUUCCCUACCGGGUAGAUCUCCCACCCUAUGCUAUUUGUACUUUGUCGCUUUAGCUUGCCGUUAGGCUCCGGCCCGACUACCGCCCCCGGCUUGUAAGCCUUCGUCUGAAGACUCAAAACCCUAAAUAUUACAGUCGACUACUUACUACAUAAUAUCUAAUACUUUCCACAACGGAUCUCAUCGCUCUAGCACCGAUGAACAACCGACUAAACCGCAAGAACACCGGACUGAACCCCAU
rnacentral:misc_RNA from 1 species